CUUGUUCAACAUGCUUUUAUUAAGUUCAUGAUGACAUUAUGGGGGAAUGAGAACAACCAAAAGAUUUGUCUAAGUGAUUACAUGGCUCUGAUCACAAACAGGUCAAGUGACCCACAAACACUUCAGGUGACCACAAAAAGGUCAGGUGACAGUGAAAUAGUGGGGGGAUGGGGAGGGGGUAGGGUUGUAACAAGGAUGGAAUUAUGGCACAGUGUUAUUAUGAAAACAAUAAUGAUUAAAGUUGAAAAACAAAAAUUUACUGAAAAAAAAAAAUGAGUCUUUUAUUCAAACAUGUUUCCACCUCAUUCAAAGCUCAUUAAAAAUGUUCAAAUGUUUUAGUGAAAAGUGACAAGGAAGCAGGCGGGAGGAGACAAUGAAAUCUCUCACUACACAUCUAGACCAGUUUUAAAAUGGGAAAAAUGUUUGUGGUUAUUAGAAAAAAAAAAAAGUUUUCACUUUACAUAAUAUAGCAACCAAUUCGACUUUUUUAAAUAAAAAAAAGUUAAACAAAAAACAAACUAUUAUGUAUUUCAAAGCUGCAAAGGUUAACUAUAAAACAUAUUUAAAUACAUUGCAUAGGAAUGAUACAUUGCAACUUGUAUUCCUUGUGGUAGCAUUAAAACAUGCUCUUGUUGAUACUACCAACAAUAACAGAAUGAGCAGUUCUUAAGUUGGUCACUUACAGAAAACUAACAUUGAAGGUGCUUCAUAAGACUAACACAACUUAAAGCAAAGAUAAAGGAAUGAUAUUCAAACCAUUUAGACCAACCCUGCACCCAGACACUCUUGUACAAGCACACACAUUUAUUUCAACUUAUGAUCUUAAUAACUUCAUUGGACAAGCUUGAGAAAUCAACUUCAGCCAAAAUUGCUGAAAAUUUUUGUGAAAAUUAUAAUGCAAUCUAUUACUGUGAUUAGCAAAGUCGGGACAAUUUAGAGUUAUAAACAUGAAGAAAUUAACAAAACAAAUUUGUAACAAAACUUCAAGAGCUUAGGAGAAGAAACAUCACAAGGUUGGAUUCUCAGGGGGAAACAUUGCCAGUGUUAAGACUACAAUAAGGUUACACAAAAAGUGACAAAGUGGUUGUUGGUAAAAGAAAAUAUUUGUAUCUCUUAAAUAUUAUGAGGGUACAACUUUUUUUGCAACCAAAGCUCCAUUAUCUCUUGAAAACCAUUUCAGACAAAUGUAAAAAGAACAGGAAUCAAAGUGCAACAUGGGAUACACAUGAUGUCUGUACUGGUCUCACAAAGUCAGUGUAAUACUGUAUCACCAAACUUAUUCAUACAAUAUACUGGAGGACACUGGAGAUAAAUACAUAGAUGAAACACUUAUACUGUAUCAUUAAACUUAAAGGCAAACUAAAAAAUCUGAGGCCCAAACAAAAAAAAAAAAAGAAAAGAAACAAAAUUCCACAAUG